rnacentral:rRNA from 1 species
GACGAACGCUGGCGGCGUGCUUAACACAUGCAAGUCGAACGGAAAGGCCCUGCUUUUGUUGGGUGCUCGAGUGGCGAACGGGUGAGUAACACGUGUGUAACCUGCCCUUGACUUUGGGAUAACUUCAGGAAACUGGGGCUAAUACCGGAUAGGAUCUCCUGCUGCAUGGUGGGGGUUGGAAAGUUUCGGUGGUUGGGGAUGGACUCGCGGCUUAUCAGCUUGUUGGUGGGGUAGUGGCUUACCAAGGCUUUGACGGGUAGCCGGCCUGGGAGGGUGACCGGCCACAUUGGGACUGAGAUACGGCCCAGACGCCUACGGGAGGCAGCAGUGGGGAAUAUUGCACAAUGGGCGGAAGCCUGAUGCAGCAACGCCGCGUGCGGGAUGACGGCCUUCGGGUUGUAAACCGCUUUCGCCUGUGACGAAGCGUGAGUGACGGUAAUGGGUAAAGAAGCACCGGCUAACUACGUG